rnacentral:rRNA from 1 species
UCCAGACUCCUACGGGAGGCAGCAGUGGGGAAUAUUGCACAAUGGGCGAAAGCCUGAUGCAGCAACGCCGCGUGAAGGAAGAAGGCCUUCGGGUCGUAAACUUCUGUCCUUGGGGAAGAAGAACUGACGGUACCCAAGGAGGAAGCCCCGGCUAACUACGUGCCAGCAGCCGCGGUAAUACGUAUGGGGCAAGCGUUAUCCGGAUUUACUGGGUGUAAAGGGAGUGCAGGCGGCUUGGCAAGUCUGAUGUGAAAGGCUGGGGCUCAACCCCAGGACUGCAUUGGAAACUGUUAGGCUGGAGUGUCGGAGAGGUAAGCGGAAUUCCUAGUGUAGCGGUGAAAUGCGUAGAUAUUAGGAGGAACACCAGUGGCGAAGGCGGCUUACUGGACGACAACUGACGCUGAGGCUCGAAAGCGUGGGGAGCAAACAGGAUUAGAUACCCCUGUA